GGGCCUGAAAGGCUAUGAACAGCGGACUCAUAAUUCGUUGGUGCCGGGUUCGACUCCCGGGGGGCCCACCA
rnacentral:tRNA from 1 species